rnacentral:tRNA from 1 species
CGGUUUAGCUCAGUUGGUAGAGCAACCGCCUUGUAAGCGGUAGGUCGCGAGUUCGAGUCCCGCAACCGG